rnacentral:rRNA from 1 species
CUACGGGAUGCUCCAGUGAGGAAUAUUGCACAAUGGGGGGAACCCUGAUGCAGCAACGCCGCGUGGAGGAUGACGCAUUUCGGUGUGUAAACUCCUUUUAUAUGUCAAGAAAAUGACGGUAGCAUAUGGAUAAGCACCGGCUAACUCCGUGCGCAGCAGCCGCGGUAAUACGGAGGGUGCAAGCGUUACUCGGAAUCACUGGGCGUAAAGGACGCGUAGGCGGGUUGGAAAGUCAGGUGUGAAAUCCUACAGCUUAACUGUAGAACUGCACUUGAAACUUCUAAUCUAGAGUAUGGGAGGGGGAGAUGGAAUUAGUGGUGUAGGGGUAAAAUCCGUAGAUAUCACUAGGAAUACCUAAAGCGAAGGCGAUCUCCUGGAACAUUACUGACGCUAAGGCGUGAAAGCGUGGGGAGCAAACAGGAUUAGAUACCCCGGUAGUC